CGAGAGUAGGCUCGUCAACAAGAAGACAGUGAUAAAAAGCUAAGCUACUUCUACGCCUUUUCUGACGAUUAUUUACAUUUUUAAAGGGAUAAAGGUAAAUUCUAACAUUAAUAUUUCGCUGAACAUGAUUAGAAAAGAAAAUACAAGGCAGAAAAGAUGAAGGAAAGAAGAUACAAGAUACAGUCGGCGAUACAAGGAACGGCUUGGGAAGCACAACAAGAAACGAAAAACGAAGAACACAAGGAUAAUUCUGUAUGUACCAAUCUGUAGCCCCUGCAUAUCUGAUUAGGCUGCAUAUCUUGGGUGUCAUCAAGGUUUUAGACUUACGAUCGGGCGAUACAAUCAUGCCUCAUAAUCUUUCAACCUAUUAGGCAAAGUGACCUCUCUGCGGGAUCUUUCCCUCAGACCUCCUUCCAACCCCACGCUCGCCGACCGAACAGUCCCAUGCGACGCUACCUUUCUCAUACUUGUCGACUCUCCAGUCCCCUCAUCCAAAACAGUCGAUAAAGACCUCCCUCCCCUCGACCUGGGCGGUUGAAGAACCCCAGCGGGAAGGGGUGCAGUCUUUGGUGAUCUUGCCAUUUCCGGUAAGGGCAUCGAGUUUGUUCCACUAGGCGAAUGGGUGAACGCCCUUCUAGACUCACGUUCGCCCAAAGUCUCGAUGAAGGAUGUCGCUGAGCCACGUCUAUUGUAAGGCUGUUUCGCCGCAGGUUGAUCAUCGGUGUUUCGGUGCCCAUUAGCGCCUAUGACAGCUCGAAGAGGUGAGGCGGCGUGAACGCCGUUGCCGGUAUGGCUAAGAGCGUUGAAGCUGCGAGUGCGCUUGAGAGGAGCACGGGAUAGAGGAGGUGACAGUUUACUAAUACUAUCAGACCCUUUGUCUUUACUUCUUUCCGGCUGAUCGGCUGCUGGCGUAUCCUCUUGAACUGAAGGAGUUGGAGUCUGUUCAGUUAUAAUCGGAACCUCCUCCUCGUCUUCUACAGCCUGUCCUUUGAGUUCCCUGACUAGCCGCUUAGCUCUGGCUUCCUUUGCCUUCUUCUCCUUCAGCUCUCUUCUAUUUAACUUUUUCGGUUUCUCACUUCUGGCGACUUCCAAAUCGGAGGGAUUAAACGAUCGCGUAUUACCCCAAUCGGACUCGGGAGAAUAAGGAUGCCCGGUAAGUGCGUGGACAUCUGCAAGUGUCUCGUCCGAUGAAACAUACGCAAGGCAGCGGUUGAUAAUCGGGCGAUAAAGUGGGGUAACCGUGACGUACUGUUCUGAAGCAAGAGGAGCCACAUGAACACUGGCUUUACGUCGUUUCGUCGGUCUUGCGCAAGUUCUCUUUGCAUUUGGGAUGUUGUCGUCACCAUUGAUUGUCUGAGAGGUGAUGGGCGAAGUGUGGAGAGGGGAAUCAUAAGUGAAUGAGACUGGCUUGAUGCUAGUUAACUCGUGGUAGCCGCCCUUGUGAGCUUGGCGUUUCGUCGGAGAGAUUGUGACAGAGGAUGGGGGAAUAGGGAAUUGGAAAGUAAUGGGGACUGGGGGCAUAAUGAGAAUUGCAAUGGUUUAAAGAGCGAUUAAUGAAGACAUAACAUUUAUU
rnacentral:sRNA from 1 species